rnacentral:rRNA from 1 species
UACACUCCUACGGGAGGCAGCAGUGGGGAAUUUUGGACAAUGGGCGAAAGCCUGAUCCAGCCAUGCCGCGUGCAGGAUGAAGGCCUUCGGGUUGUAAACUGCUUUUGUACGGAACGAAACGGCCUUUUCUAAUAAAGAGGGCUAAUGACGGUACCGUAAGAAUAAGCACCGGCUAACUACGUGCCAGCAGCCGCGGUAAUACGUAGGGUGCAAGCGUUAAUCGGAAUUACUGGGCGUAAAGCGUGCGCAGGCGGUUAUGUAAGACAGUUGUGAAAUCCCCGGGCUCAACCUGGGAACUGCAUCUGUGACUGCAUAGCUAGAGUACGGUAGAGGGGGAUGGAAUUCCGCGUGUAGCAGUGAAAUGCGUAGAUAUGCGGAGGAACACCGAUGGCGAAGGCAAUCCCCUGGACCUGUACUGACGCUCAUGCACGAAAGCGUGGGGAGCGAACAGGAUUAGAAACCCCAGUAGUCCCA